AUAACAACACAAAAGCCUUGCCUCUCAGUUGUAACAACACAACCACACCACAAAACCACAAUCCAGACCCACAAAACUCACAACAACGCAUUGUGACUAUAACAAAUGCAACAUUUGACAACACAACUCAUCCACCUCCCCAAUCCCUACAUUCACACUUGGCCUCCAAAAAAACAAUUACAAUAAUAACAAUGACAACAACAACAACAAUAAGAAUCAACACCAUCACAGGCAAGAAACAGCCAGGCACUGAGGCUGAGAGGCCAGUCAGUGCUAAACUGGGCCUCCAAAAAACAAUACAGUAGCAUCUAACAUCCAACCUUCACAAUCACUACAACAACAAUAAUAAUAAACACCUACACAGGCAAAACAAAAAAAAAAGACUAUUGUACCACAAUAAAAAUAUAAACCGCACUCAGCAGAAUCAGACAUUACAAUUAACAACAAACCAAAGACAACAGGGAUCUCAAGCAAUUAUCAAUCAACACAAAAAUUGAAGAAGGUAACAGACUUCAAAUACUACUACUAAUGUGAGUAUGAAGAAGGGUGGAGGUCACAGCAUCAAUACAACCUAAUGUAGACUGACCAACACCACCAGACUCAGACACAGCAACGCGUGGCCGGGCACAGCUAGUAUAUAUAUAAACGGGUAAUGAAAUUUCGGCCUAGGACAAAACAACAAAACUACACAUCCCAGAAACACUAAACUUGGCAGCACAACCCCUCAUCCAUGCCUCUACGUUCAUACAACAAAAAGAAAAGAUAAAUAAAGUCCUAAUUAGAGGGAGAGGAAGAAUUGUUUUUAUGCAAUUGCUGCCAGUUAGAAGGCUGAGCUCUGCCCACUUGGUCUCCUAGCAACCCACUCAGCCCAGGGGACAGGCAGAGUUAGGCCUCACCUAGGUCUCUUGCACAUCUAUAUAUAUAAAAGAGUGAUGGAAUCGCGGCACCAGACAAAACAACAAAACUACAGGCCCCCCAACCUCGAAAUUUGACAACACAACCCAUCAUCCACGGCUCUAGGUUGAUACAACAAAAAGAAAAGAAAAACAAAGUCCUAAUUAGAGGGAGAGGAAUAAUUGCUUUUAUCCAAUUGCUGCCAGUUAGAAGGCUAAGCUCCUCCAACUUGGUGUCCUAGCAACCCAAUAAAAAAUAAUUAAAAAUACUAAAAAAAUAAUUAAAAACAUAAAAAAUACAAUAAAAUACUAUAAUAACAGAAAAUAACUAAAAUAAUACAAGAAAAUAAUAAAAUAUAAUAAAUAAAAAGAUAACUUACAAUAAAAUUAAUUAAAAAAUACAAAUAGCAUC
rnacentral:lncRNA from 1 species